CAUUGGAUGAGCCCAUGUGGGAUUAGCUAGUUGGUGGGGUAAAGGCCUACCAAGGCGACGAUCUCUAGCUGGUCUGAGAGGAUGACCAGCCACACUGGGACUGAGACACGGCCCAGACUCCUACGGGAGGCAGCAGUGGGGAAUAUUGCACAAUGGGGGGAACCCUGAUGCAGCCAUGCCGCGUGUAUGAAGAAGGCCUUCGGGUUGUAAAGUACUAUCGGUAAUGAGGAAGUUGUUGUGGUGAUAAGCUGCAGCAAUUGACGUUAGUUACAGAAGAAGCACCGGCUAACUCCGUGCCAGCAGCCGCGGUAAUACGGAGGGUGCGAGCGUUAAUCGGAAUGACUGGGCGUAAAGGGCAUGCAGGCGGGUAAUUAAGUCGUAUGUGAAAUCCCCGGGCUCAACCUGGGAAUGGCAUAUGAAACUGGUUAUCUAGAGUAUUGUAGAGGGGGGUAGAAUUCCACGUGUAGCGGUGAAAUGCGUAGAGAUGUGGAGGAAUACCGGUGGCGAAGGCGGCCCCCUGGACAAAUACUGACGCUCAAAUGCGAAAGCGUGGGGAGCCUACAGGAUUAGAUACCCUGGUAGUCCA
rnacentral:rRNA from 1 species